rnacentral:rRNA from 1 species
GAUGAACGUUGGCGGCGUGCCUAACACAUGCAAGUCGAACGGGAAGGGGAACUUCGGUUCUCUGGAGAGUGGCGCACGGGUGAGUAACACGUAGCUUAUCUGCCCUCAAGAGCGGGAUAACGCACCGAAAGGUGUGCUAAUACCGCAUAAGCUCCCGGGCUAUAGAGGCCUGAGAGAAAAGGCUCCGGCGCUUGAGGAUGAGGCUGCGGCCCAUCAGCUAGUUGGUGUGGUAAAAGCACACCAAGGCGACGACGGGUAGGGGACCUGAGAGGGUGACCCCCCACACUGGGACUGAGACACGGCCCAGACUCCUACGGGAGGCAGCAGUGAGGAAUAUUGCCCAAUGGACGCAAGUCUGAGGCAGCAACGCCGCGUGGGUGAUGAAGGCCUUCGGGUCGUAAAGCCCUUUUCUGGGUGACGAGAAAGGACGGUAACCCAGGAAUAAGUGUCGGCUAACUACGUGCCAGCAGCCGCGGUAAAACGUAGGACGCAAACGUUAUCCGGAAUUACUGGGCGUAAAGCGCGCGCAGGCGGGUCAGCAAGUCACUCGUGAAAGCUCCCGGCUAAACUGGGAGAGGUCGGGUGAGACUGUUGAUCUGGAGGGUGGUAGAGGCGUGUGGAAUUCCGCGUGUAGUGGUGAAAUGCGUAGAGAUGCGGAGGAACACCAGUGGCGAAGGCGGCACGCUGGGCCACACCUGACGCUGAGGCGCGAAAGCAUGGGUAGCGAACGGGAUUAGAAACCCCGGUAGUCCAUGCCGUANACGAUGUGUAUUAGAUGUUCGUAUACCUGCGGGUAUGUGAGUGUCGCAGCUAACGCGAUAAAUACACCGCCUGGGGAGUACGGUCGCAAGGCUAAAACUCAAGGGAAUUGACGGG